rnacentral:rRNA from 1 species
UACAGAGGUCCCGAGCGUUGUUCGGAUUCAUUGGGCGUAAAGGGUGCGUAGGCGGUUUUUUAAGUUUGAUGUGAAAUCCCGGGGCUCAACCCUGGAAUUGCAUUGAAUACUGAAGAACUAGAGAUCUGGAGAGGAAACUGGAAUUUACGGUGUAGCAGUGAAAUGCGUAGAGAUGUGGAGGAACACCGAUGGCGAAGGCAGCCCCCUGGGCUGAGAUUGACGCUCAGGCACGAAAGCGUGGGGAGCAAACAGG